GCUGGCCACGACUGUGACGCCAGGCAGUGCCAAGUUCCCUGGCAGCCCUGCAGAGGGUCCCCAAACAUGGGCUUCCUUCUGCAGUCCCAGUGAUGCUCUGACAUCUGCCUCACCAAGGGAGACUGUGAGCCGCAUGGUGCCUCCCAGACAAGCCACGCUGGAAGCUCAGAACACCCCGGUGCUGACAAAGGGAGCCCUGUCCAGUUAACAAAAUGGAGAGCAGAAAAGGACAAAGGGUAAACCCCAGCUUUCUCCCAACGUGAUUGGAGGUGAACACAGGGAUGUCUGCACGAGCCCGUUGCUAUCUCUGUCUCUCCCUCGACGUCGCUGGGGGAAGCUCAGGUUCUGCGUGUGAUGCCCUAAGUCCAUCAGGCACCUGCAGUCCUUAGGGGCCCAUUUAGGGAAACUGAAGAAAUUGCUUUCUACUUUGAAUAGCAAGGUACACGAAGCUGCACAAGAGAAAUAAUGAAUGCCAUUCAGCAGUUCACUGCCACAAAUGGACACAAACACAAUCGUCCGUCAGACACUGACACUCCAAGGUUAGGAACCUUACAGAGUUGUUCUGACACUGCUGCCAAGGUAAGCACACAAUCGCAAAUUCACAAACUUAAUUGUCAAAACUCCUGUCAUAUAAUUUUAGACCAAUAAGGUCACCUCCCUGAGUUUCAGUUGUA